UGAAAGUUGCAUUUGAAAUGAAAAGGCUUGCAUUGAGCAGGAUGCAACUUUCAGCUGCACUUAAAAAUGACCUGGAAAAAGUUAACACUGAGGGCAGUGUGCUCAUGGAUACUAUGAAAGAAGUGUUGAAGCUAAAUAAAUCAAUAAUGACAUCACAACAGGAAUCUUGGGAAUUAGAAGAAAAACUACUUGAUGUUAGAAAGAAGAGAUUGCGUAUGUAGAACACUUUUUCUUUUAUGGUUGAUGUUGUAGUCAGGGUUUACAAGGGAAUAAAUUUAGUGCAGCACACAUAAUUUAUCAGAUUAUUUUAUAAUAGUCACCCAAAAAGUCAAAUGCACGACAGGGCAAGCAGUCUAUCCACACACUAGAUACCCAAAGAAUCCAGAUGAGGCCCUGCAUCACAUGGUAGUGUCCCACACAAGUCCAGCUGGAGGCCUAGAGCCCACAACAAGGUCUCAUGCAAGUCUGUAUCAAGAAGCUAUACUGGGAAGGCCCACGGGCUGCUGGUAGAAGCUAGAAAGUCUGAGCCAGCAGGAUGAAGGGUUUGUGGCAGCAAAUGGAGGGAUUCCCCACUUCAGCCAAGAAGUGACAUUCAAGGUAAAGACCAGAGCUCCUCCAAAAAGAACCAUAGCCAUCCUCAGCAAUAUUACGGACAUGAGCUCC